rnacentral:miRNA from 1 species
ACUAUAUCUGCGUCUGAAUCUUGGGUCCCAACGGAUGAAUGGUUAGAGAAUUUUAUUUUUGCCUUUGCCUAGCACGGAGG